GGAGUCGGCCGGGCGGCCGCGUCGGGCCCCACGAGGGCCCGUCGAGGAAAGUCCGGACUCCACAGGGCAGGGUGGUUGCCAACAGCAACCCGGGGUGACCCGCGGGACAGUGCCACAGAGAACAGACCGCCACCGGCGCGAGCCGGUGGUGAGGGUGAAACGGUGGUGUAAGAGACCACCAGCGUCCUGGGUGACCAGGACGGCUCGGUAAACCCCACCCGGAGCAAGGUCAAGAAGGUUCCGCCGGAGACGGCGGAGCUGCGCAGGUCGUCCGAGGGCUGCCCGCCCGAGACCUGCGGGUAGACCGCUGGAGCCCGUCGGCGACGGCGGGCCGAGAUGGAUGGUCGCCGCCCGCGGACCCGCGAGGGACCGUGGGCACAGGAUCCGGCUUACAGGCCGACUCCUCCG
rnacentral:RNase_P_RNA from 1 species